rnacentral:rRNA from 1 species
CUGCAACUCGCCUACAUGAAGUUGGAAUCGCUAGUAAUCGCGAAUCAGAAUGUCGCGGUGAAUACGUUCCCGGGUCUUGUACACACCGCCCGUCACACCACGAGAGUUUACAACACCCGAAGUCAGUGGCCUAACCGCAAGGAGGGAGCUGCCUAAGGUGGGGUAGAUGAUUGGGGUGAAGUCGUAACAAGGUAUC